UCGGUAUAACUUGAUAAUGAAUAGAUUUAUAUUAAUUUAUAGUGUUAAUAUUUAGUAGAAAAAGUAUUUAAUUGUUGUUGUAUUUUUUUAAGAUAUAAUUUAUUUUAUUAUAGUUUAUUAGUACUGUGAUGGUUUAUUGAAGUAUAAUAUUAUAUUAAAAUAAGUUGAUUUAAUUUAUUGUACCUUGUGUAUCAGGGUUUAUUAAUAAUAUUGUAUAAAUUUUAUUUUUCUCGAUUUAAGGAGAGUUACUUAUUUAUAUAAUUUACUGUUAUAUAAGUAUUUAUAAUUAAUAAGUGGAAAUGAUAUAUUAUUCGUUCUUUACUAUAUCUAGUUUUCUAAGAAAUGAAUUUAAUUCAGGUAUUAAAUAUUUAAAAAUUUAAUUUUAUAAAUGUUUUAUUAUUUAAUACAAGUAUUUAAAGGGAUAAGCUUUUAAAUAAAUUUUUAUAAAUUAUUUAUUUAUGUUUAGGUUAAAUGGAUUUAAGAAUGAUCAUUAAUUUGAGUAUGUUAAAAUUUUACCUUUUUAUUAGAAUAUUUUUAUUAUUUUGAGUUUGUUAUUAGAAAUUUUUAAUUAAUUAUUAUUUAAUUGAUAUUAUGAUGAAAUUAGUAUAUUAAAAUAUUUAUAUUGUUUUUGUGAAAAAUUAAGUAUUUAUAAGGAAUUAGGCAAAAUUAUUGUAUUCGCCUGUUUAACAAAAACAUCUUUUCUUGUAUUUAUGUGAAAUAUAACCUGCCCACUGAUAUAAAUUGAAGGGCCGCGGUAAUUUGACCGUGCAAAGGUAGCAUAAUCAUUAGUCUCUUAAUUAGGGGCUGGAAUGAAUGGUUGGACGAGAUACAUACUGUCUUUUAUUUAAAUUUAAAAUUUAAUUAUUAAGUAAGAAAGCUUAAAUUUUUUUAUGGGACGAGAAGACCCUAUAGAGUUUAAUAAUUUAUAGUAGAUGAUUAGUUUGAUAAAAUAUUUUUGUUAUAAAUUAUUUUGUUGGGGUGAUGAAAAGAUAAAAGUAACUCUUUUUAUUGUAAAAUAUUUAUUUAUAGAUAUUUGAUCCAUUAAUAGUGAUUAUAAGAUUAAAUUACCUUAGGGAUAACAGCGUAAUCUUUUUUGAGAGUUCAUAUCGACAUAAAGGGUUGCGACCUCGAUGUUGGAUUAAGAUGAAUAUUGGGUGUAGAAGUUUAAUAUAUUAGGUCUGUUCGACCUUUAAAAUCUUACAUGAUCUGAGUUCAAACCGGCGUGAGCCAGGUUGGUUUCUAUCUAUAAUAAGUUAUAAUAUCUUAGUACGAAAGGACCAGAUAUUAAGAAUAAUUUUAUUUAUAUGAUUAUUAAUAAUUAUUUAACUAUUUUGGCAGAAAAGUGCAGUGGAUUUAGAAUCUAUAAAUA
rnacentral:rRNA from 1 species